rnacentral:rRNA from 1 species
ACCUCCCUWGAGUUUUGAAUCAUGGCUCAGGACGAACGCUGKCGGCGUGCCUAAUACAUGCAAGUCGAGCGAACAGAKAAGGAGCUUGCUCCUUUGACGUUAGCGGCGGACGGGUGAGUAACACGUGGGCAACCUACCUUAUAGUUUGGGAUAACUCCGGGAAACCGGGGCUAAUACCGAAUAAUCUAUUUCASUUYAUGRWGAAAUAMUGAAAGACGGCAUCUCGCUGUCGCUAUAAGAUGGGCCCGCGGCGCAUUAGCUAGUUGGUGAGGUAACGGCUCACCAAGGCGACGAUGCGUAGCCGACCUGAGAGGGUGAUCGGCCACACUGGGWCUGAGACACGGCCCAGACUCCUACGGGAGGCAGCAGUAGGGAAUCUUCCACAAUGGGCGAAAGCCUGAUGGAGCAACGCCGCGUGAGUGAAGAAGGUUUUCGGAUCGUAAAACUCUGUUGUAAGGGAAGAACAAGUACAGUAGUAACUGGCUGUACCUUGACGGUACCUUAUUAGAAAGCCMCGGCUAACUACGUGCCASCASCCGCGGUAAUACGUAGGUGGCAAGCGUUGUCCGGAAUUAUUGGGCGUAAAGCGCGCGCAGGCGGUCCUUUAAGUCUGAUGUGAAAGCCCACGGCUCAACCGUGGAGGGUCAUUGGAAACUGGGGGACUUGAGUGCAGAAGAGGAAAGUGGAAUUCCAAGUGUAGCGGUGAAAUGCGUAGAGAUUUGGAGGAACACCAGUGGSGAAGGCGACUUUYUGGUCUGUAACUGACGCUGAGGCGCGAAAGCGUGGGGAGCAAACAGGAUUAGAUACCCUGGUAGUCCACGCCGUAAACGAUGAGUGCUAAGUGUUAGGGGGUUUCCGCCCCUUAGUGCUGCAGCUAACGCAUAAGCACUCCGCCU